rnacentral:rRNA from 1 species
GAUUAACGCUGGCGGCGUGCAUAACACAUGCAAGUCGAACGAUGAAACUUAAAUGAUUUCUUCGGAAUGAACUUAAGUGGAUUAGUGGCGGACGGGUGAGUAACGCGUGAGUAACCUGCCUUACACAAGGGGAUAGCCGUUGGAAACGACGAAUAAUACCCUAUGAAACUAUCACUUCGCAUGAAGCGAUAGUCAAAGUGUUAGCGGUGUAAGAUGGACUUGCGUCUGAUUAGCUAGUUGGUGAGAAAAAAGCCCACCAAGGCAACGAUCAGUAGCCGGCUUGCGAGAGUGUACGGCCACAUUGGGACUGAGACACGGCCCAGACUCCUACGGGAGGCAGCAGUGGGGAAUUUUGCACAAUGGGGGAAACCCUGAUGCAGCGACGCCGCGUGAUUUAGAAGGCCUUCGGGUUGUAAAAAUCUUUUGUAUAGGAAGAAAAUGACAGUACUAUACGAAUAAGGUCCGGCUAAUUACGUG